rnacentral:rRNA from 1 species
UGCAGUCGAACGACACAGUGGCAGACGGGUGAGUAACGCGUGGGAACGUGCCCUUCAGUACGGAAUAGCUUCUGGAAACGGGAGGUAAUACCGUAUACGCCCUCCGGGGGAAAGAUUUAUCGCUGAAGGAUCGGCCCGCGUUAGAUUAGCUGGUUGGUGGGGUAAUGGCCCACCAAGGCGACGAUCUAUAGCUGGUUUGAGAGGAUGAUCAGCCACACUGGGACUGAGACACGGCCCAGACUCCUACGGGAGGCAGCAGUGGGGAAUCUUGCACAAUGGGCGAAAGCCUGAUGCAGCCAUGCCGCGUGAAUGAUGAAGGCCCUAGGGUUGUAAAAUUCUUUCACCAGGGACGAUAGUGACGGUACCUGGAGAAGAAGCCCCGGCUAACUUCGUGCCAGCAGCCGCGGUAAUACGAAGGGGGCUAGCGUUGUUCGGAAUUACUGGGCGUAAAGCGCGCGUAGGCGGACUUGUAAGUCAGGUGUGAAAUCCCGGGGCUCAACCUCGGAACUGCACUUGAAACUGCGAGUCUAGAGGCCAGGAGAGGUUAGUGGAAUGCCGAGUGUAGAGGUGAAAUUCGUAGAUAUUCGGUGGAACACCAGUGGCGAAGGCGACUGACUGGACUGGUACUGACGCUGAGGUGCGAAAGUGUGGGGAGCAAACAGGAUUAGAUACCCUGGUAG